GAUGAACGCUGGCGGCGUGCCUAAUACAUGCAAGUCGAGCGAACAGACGAGGAGCUUGCUCCUCUGACGUUAGCGGCGGACGGGUGAGUAACACGUGGAUAACCUACCUAUAAGACUGGGAUAACUUCGGGAAACCGGAGCUAAUACCGGAUAAUAUAUUGAACCGCAUGGUUCAAUAGUGAAAGACGGUUUUGCUGUCACUUAUAGAUGGAUCCGCGCCGCAUUAGCUAGUUGGUAAGGUAACGGCUUACCAAGGCAACGAUGCGUAGCCGACCUGAGAGGGUGAUCGGCCACACUGGAACUGAGACACGGUCCAGACUCCUACGGGAGGCAGCAGUAGGGUAUCUUCCGCAAUGCGCGAAAGCCUGACGGAGCAACGCCGCGUGAGUGAUGAAGGUCUUCGGAUCGUAAAACUCUGUUAUUAGGGAAGAACAAAUGUGUAAGUAACUAUGCACGUCUUGACGGUACCUAAUCAGAAAGCCACGGCUAACUACGUG
rnacentral:rRNA from 1 species